CGGACGACAUGACUGUGACGCCGCAGUAAAUGUCUAUUACCAGAAAGAUAAGGAUCUUCUUUCAAUAAUUACAAUAUAUUAUGUUUGUUUUGGAUUAACUUCUGAAAUAAAUCUUUCUUGAACCAAAUAUUUAGGUGCUACUGAUGUGGUGGAACAGAAAGUCAAGUGUUAUUGACAAUUUAUCAAACUCGAAUGGAUUUGAAAUACAUAAAAUAGUAAAAUAUAUUUCUAACUGUUUUCUAGGUAACAGCAAUUGUCUUUAAUUUGGUAAGGUUCAGUACACAUUUGGCGUUUUAGACAUUUGGACUUCUGAAGAAUACAAAAAUAUGUUUUCAUGAGUUCACUCAUGUUCUGUAGAUUGAGACUUGAGAGAAAGAGAUGGGGAGCAAUUGCUCCAAAGGGAGGAGAGAGGAGAGGGACAUUACCGCUUUCUCCAAAAAGAGAAGUUUGUCUUUGGGAAGAAAAAAGGAGUACACUGAAGGGAGGAAAGCAGAGGGCAACAGUGGAGAAACGCUCUUUCAACAAAGUCUUCCUGGCCUACAAUCCCCAGUCUCCCCAGCCUACAAUCCCCAGCCUACAAUCCCCAGUCUCCCCAGCCUACAAUCCCCAGUCUCCCCAGCCUACAAUCCCCAGUCUCCCCAGUCUACAAUCCCCAGUCCCCCCAGACCGACAAUCCCCAGUCUUCCCAGCCUACAAUCCCCAGUCUUCCCUCACAGCUGAGGGUGGAAGCAGUCUAUGUGCCCCAGUGAUCAGCAAUAAGGAAGUAGGAGGUAACAUCAACAUCACUCAGAACAACACUCAGAACAACGAUGACUCCUCCCAGGUUGCACAAUGCAGUGCCACGCUAAAAGGUGAGUUGCGUGGUGGUCUGUCUCCAGUAUCCAGAGAGACCCAGAGCGCAUCAAGGAACACACACUACCACCACAAUAUGAAGAGAAAGACAACACAAAGAAGACACAAUACAUAAUGAAUGAUAAAUACAUCUGCUUAAUGCAUUAUUAUGAUGCAUGACAUAGGAGCUAACAGGUUAUUUUGCAUUGCGUAUUAUGCAGAUGAAUGCACAUAUAAUGCAUUAUGAAGAGGGUAUUCAUAGGAGGUGUUACCAUAGGAGGUGUUACCAUAGGAGGUGUUACCAUAGCCAUAGGAGGUGUUACCAUAGGAGGUGUUACCAUAGGAGGUGUUAUCAUAGGAGGUGUUACCAUAGGAGGUGUUACCAUAGCCAUAGGAGGUGUUACCAUAGGAGGUGUUACCAUAGGAGGUGUUACCAUAGCCAUAGGUGGUGUUACCAUAGGAGGUGUUACCAUAGCCAUAGGAGGUGUUACCAUAGGAGGUGUUACCGUAGCCAUAGGAGGUGUUACCAUAGGAGGUGUUACCAUAGGAGGUGUUACCAUAGCCAUAGGAGGUGUUACCAUAGGAGGUGUUACCAUAGCCAUAGGAGGUGUUACCAUAGGAGGUGUUACCAUAGCCAUAGGAGGUGUUACCAUAGGAGGUGUUACCAUAGGAGGUGUUACCAUAGGAGGUGUUACCAUAGCCAUAGGAGGUGUUACCAUAGCCAUAGGAGGUGUUGCCAUAGGUGGUGUUACCAUUGGAGGUGUUACCAUAGGAGGUGUUACCAUAGGAGGUGUUACCAUAGCCAUAGGAGGUGUUACCAUAGGAGGUGUUACCAUAGGAGGUGUUACCAUAGCCAUAGGAGGUGUUACCAUAGGAGGUGUUACCAUAGGAGGUGUUACCAUAGCCAUAGGAGGUGUUACCAUAGGAGGUGUUACCAUAGGAGGUGUUACCAUAGGAGGUGUUUCCAUUGGAGGUGUUACCAUAGGAGGUGUUACCAUAGGAGGUGUUACCAUAGGAGGUGUUACUAUAGGGUGUGUUACCAUAGGAGGUGUUACCAUAGGAGGUGUUACUAUAGGAUGUGUUACCAUAGGAGGUGUUACUAUAGGAUGUGUUACUAUAGGAUGUGUUACUAUAGGAGGUGUUACAAUAGGAGGUGUUACCAUAGCAGAUGUUACUAUAGGAGGUGUUACCAUUGGAGGUUUUACCAUACGCAUACGACACACAAUUAACCUCUAGACGGUCGCCUAGGAUAGGGGGCGCCACAGCGCAUUUUGAAAAAAAUUAGUGCCCAUUUUCAACGACCUACUACUCAAACUCAGAAGCUAGGAUAUGCAUAUAAUUAAUACUUGUGGAUAGAAAACACCCUAAAGUUUCUAAAACUGUUUGAAUGGUGUCUGUGAGUAUAACAGAACUCAUAUGGCAGUCAAAACCCCGAGACAGAUCGAAACAGGAAGUGGAAUUCUGAAUUGCGAACUCAACUUCAUCACGUUGCCUAUUAAUCACACCGUGAGCUAUGGUUCAUUGAGCACUUCCUAUUGCUUCCAAUAGAUGUCCCCAGUCUUUACAAAGUGAUUUGAGUCUCCUACUGUGAAAACUGACAGAAUGACACGCUGUGGAACAUGGUCACACGGAGAGGGCCAUCACCAUUAUGACGCCGGCGCCCCUGGUUACCCUCCCCUUUCGAAACGUUUUGAAACACAAUGCAAUCGUCCCCCUCGAAUCUUAUUGGAGCUCUCGUUGAAAAAGGCCCUAGAGAUUUAUGUUAUACAACGUUUGACAUGUUUGAACGAACCUAAAUAAGAAAAAAAUGCAUUUUUUUGAAAGAGUAGCCCCGCGCACGUCGGAACUUUUGGUGCAGCUUUCAGAACACGCUAACAACAACAAGCUAAUGGAACAUAAAGGAUGACAUUUUUAGAACGAAAAUACAUUUGUUGUGGACCUGGGAUUCCUGGAAGUGCCUAAGGAUGAAGAUAAUCAA
rnacentral:lncRNA from 1 species